GAAUCCGACUGUUUAAUUAAAACAAAGCAUUGCGAUGGUCCUUGCGGAUGUUAACACAAUGUGAUUUCUGCCUUGCUGCCACGAUCCACUGAGAUUC
rfam:Beta vulgaris subsp. vulgaris Bvchr2.sca010.con0040.1, whole genome shotgun sequence.